CCCUUAGAUGUUCUGGACCGCACGCGUGCUACACUGAGUGGAUCAGCGGGUCAGGUUGCGCGAAAGUGUUUCCUAAUCUUUAAAUCCGCUCGUGAUGGGGAUUGACGGUUGCAAUUUUCCGUCAUGAACGAGGAAUACCUUGUAAGCGCGGGUCAUCAUCCCGCGCUGAAUACGUCCCUGCCCUUUGUACACACCGCCCGUCGCUCCUACCGAUUGAGUGGUCCGGUGAGGCUUUGGGAUCUGGGCGGAAAGAGCGUUUCGCUGUUUCUGCCCGGAAAACUCAGUCGAACCUUAUCAUUUAGAGGAAGGAGAAGUCGUAACA
rnacentral:rRNA from 1 species